UGAUAUGAAAGCACGUAGCCUUUGAUAACUUAAAUUUUUUUCUAGCGUUUUUCAUUUAAAAACACACUCAUUUGUAACAGCAAAUACCACUGACUUAACAUUCUUAAUUCUUUAUAUUUUUAACUGGUACAUCAACAAAAUUCGUGCAUUUUAAAAAACACAAUAUAAACUUUAAAAAGCUAUAAUAAUCAAAGGUAAAACAUGGCAGCCAUUUAUGCCGCAACUAUAAUAUAAUAAUUAUUGCUUAAUAAUAACUAAAUUGCACAUGUAACACCAUUAAAUAAUAAUUAUUUGUACAUUUGUUUGAUCACAUUAAAAAAAACAUAAAAACCACUACAGAACUAUUGACACAAAGCAUUUAUUCGUGCAUAUUAAAAACUUCAAACAGCUAUUAAAUGGCUUCUCUUUCUCACUUUAAAAAUAAAUACACAUUUUUAUUGCAGCUUUUAAGCAGUAAUUAUUAGUAGAGAAAAAUAUUAUUGAUCAUAAUUUGAUUCAGCCGAGUGUCAUGUAUAAUAUAAUAUUGGAAUGCUAAUAUCAAUAAAACGAGAAAUAAAUAGUCUACAAAAUAAUACUUAUAUUAGGCCACAAAGCAACAACAAUAAUAAUUAUCUAGCUAGAGUAUUUCUUACUUAACACAUCACUGCAAAAAUUCUUCUUAAUUAUUAUUUGAAGUCCUGCGUCUACCAACCCGUAACAUUCUAUCAUCAGAAAUGAUGUAUACCUUUAAGACUCCACAAGCGUUAACCACUAAGGAGAUGCAAUAUUUUACACUAUAACCAAUGAUAAAUUCAUUGCAAUUGUAAAAUUUAAUGAUAUUGCUUCAUAAUAUUUAAUGUGGAAAUGACAAUUAGGCCAAAAUGCAGGUCACAAUGAAUAUAAGGUUUAUUUUUAGAUUUAAUAACUUAAGAUAUCCCAAAUGGAACUUAGUGUCUACUUAAGUAAUCUUUAAAUUUUAAAUUGUUUCAUACAAUUAAAAUAAACAUUAGGUUCCUUAAACAUUUGCAUGAAUAACAUAGUCAAUGUGAAGUGAACUUCUUGAA